CGCAGCCGCGGUAAUUCCAGCUCCAAUAGCGUAUAUUAAAGUUGUUGCAGUUAAAAAGCUCGUAGUUGAAUUUCGAGAUCAAAUUGUUGGUCGUGCCUCGGUACGUACUGGCAUUAUUGAUUUCUCCCUUCUGAAGAACCUUGAUGUCAUUAAUUUGGUGUCUUGGGGAAUCAGGACCGUUACUUUGAAAAAAUUAGAGUGUUUAAAGCAGGCUCACGCUUGAAUACAUUAGCAUGGAAUAAUGAAAUAGGACGUUUGAUUCUAUUUUGUUGGUUUCUAGGAUCGACGUAAUGAUUAAUAGGGAUAGUUGGGGGCAUUAGUAUUCAGUUGUCAGAGGUGAAAUUCUUGGAUUUAUUGAAGACUAACUACUGCGAAAGCAUUUGCCAAGGAUGUUUCAUUAAUCAAGAACGAAAGUUAGGGGAUCGAAGACGAUCAGAUACCGUCGUAGUC
rnacentral:rRNA from 1 species